AAGCCUUAGACUCAUACGGACUUCGGCUACACCAUGAAAGCAUUAAGAAGCAAGAACAAGCUUGU
rnacentral:sRNA from 1 species